GCGUGCGCAAGUGGUGGCAGACGCCCCGUGCGCGUCCCCGCCUCCGCGAAGACGCCUGCGUGCGCGCGUCCGGCGGCCUCCCGGUUCUUAUAGCGCCGCAGGCGGCGGUUGCGCGGGGACGGUAGGACGGUAGGAUGGCGGACGUGAGACUCGUGGUGUUGGGGCUCGUGCUACUGAGCACCCAGGGCGGCUCUGGGGCAGGGAGCAGGAUCUGGACCUCGAUAGAUGAUGUUGGCUCCAAAACACGCCUCACCUGUGCCCUGAAUCACAGCGCCACUGAGAUCGCGGGCCACCGCUGGGAGAAGGGGGGCAAGGUGCUAAAGGAGGAUGCGCUGCCUGACCUGAGGACAGAGUUUGAGGUGGACUCAGACGACCGCUCAGGCCAGUACUCCUGCAUCUUCCUGCCAGAGCACGCGGGCCGCACAGACCUGGAAGUGAAGGGGCCACCUAAUGUCAAGGCUGUGAAGAAGUCAGAGCACGCUACCGAGGGGGAGACCGUGGUGCUGGCCUGCAAGUCGGACUCCUUCCCGCCAGUCACCGAGUGGCUAUGGUACAAGAUGAGUGACUCUGGGGACCAGGUCAUCGCCAACAGCUCCCAGAACAAGUUCUUCGUGGUCUCCUCGGAGACCAAGACAGAGCUGCACAUCCCAGACCUGGACCUGAAGGAGGACCCGGGCAAGUACGCGUGCAAUGGCACCAGCUCUGAGGGCACCGGCCAGGCGGUCAUCGUGCUGCGUGUGCGCAACCGCUUUGCCGCCCUCUGGCCCUUCCUGGGCAUCGUGGCUGAGGUGCUUGUGCUGGUCACCGUCAUCUUCAUCUAUGAGAAGCGGCGGAAGCCGGAUGAGGUCCUGGAUGGUGAGCUGGCCCUAUGUGCCUUCUGCUCCUCUUCUGGGUGGGGACACCAUGGGGCUAGGGCGGCGGCCUGGAGUGUGGGGCUGAGGGUCAGCCCCCUCGGCCACUGUCCCGGAGACUCCCGGAGGCCCUGCCCCUUCCCUGGCUGAGGGUCUGUGGCCACACAGCCUCACUUGCCUUCUCUCCUCCCUCCUGGGCUGCCAGUGGGCCUCCUCCAUGGUGAGUGCCCUUGUGUGGCUGCUUGGGGUCCAGGGCUGUGGUGCCAAGCAAGCCCAGACCUUGCAUGAUGGGGCAACUGGGACCGGGGCAUCUGCCUGCGGGCUGGGGUUGGGGACACAGACAGCCCUCCCAGGUGCCCUUCAUGCUGCUACCCUGGAGAGCUCACUUGAGGGUGCCUGUCACAGGGGUGUGCCGGAUCCCCACGUGUUCGAUGGGCAGCAUAGGGCCUGCUCUGCUAACUCCCCCCUCCUCUUUUGCAUGUGCUGCCCCUUGCACAGAUGAGGACACCGGCUCUGCUCCACUGAAGAGCAGUGGACACCACGUGAAUGACAAAGGCAAGAACGUUCGCCAGAGAAAUGCCAGCUGAGAGGUGCUGAGCAUGAGUCUGCAUGGGCACGCCAGCCUGUCUGGAGGAGCCUGGUGUUCCCCUGGUGUUUGCACAACCCCACGUUCCUUCCUCUUAAGGAAACCCGCCCAGCAAAAGCAAACCACCUUGUGUGUUCAAAUCACACAUCUUCUCUUCUUUUUCACAAAACGAAGCUAGGGUUUUCUAUGUGUAGAAUCCUGUCCCUCGGGGGUUUUGCUUCCCUUUUUAAACAUUUCACAAGCACCUCAGGGCAGUUGUGAGGCUCCUGUGAUGUUCCUGCUGUGCCCUGGCCCAGCCCCCACUGCCUCUGUCUUGUGCCCUCACUGUCCACCUGCCUGGAGCCCCACCCUGAUGCCCCCCCCCCCCCGCCCCAUGUCCCCUGGGCUGUUGGCCUCCUAGUCUGCCACACUGGGUGGGGUGUGGAGGACAGAACUUUUUCUGAGGUUCCCGCCCCAGGACCAUCUCCCUGAGGCUGCUGGGCCCUGUUGGGCCAGAGCCAGUUCCCUGCCUUCUGCAGAAGGUCACAGGUCGUGUGCAGUGCCAAUCCUCCUGCUGUGUGAAGCUGGUGCUGUUGAGUCACUGCAGGUCUGUGUGGUGACUCGGGACAGCUCUGGCCACGUGGCCCCCCUCAGGGCUCCCCACUUCCCAUACGCCCAGGAAGAUGGCGGUCCGGCUCUCCACUUGGAGCAGGAGCUGCUGUGACCUCCCCAGCUGGGCCUGAGCCCCUGCCCUACCUUCCUGCUCACCAAUAAAGGCUGACCCUACUCUCCUG